GCCCUGGUAGUAUAAUUCACUACUUUGGUCUUGUAAACCAAAAAUGAAGCCCACAUGCUUCCCAGGGCA
rnacentral:tRNA from 1 species